GACGAACGCUGGCGGCGUGCUUAACACAUGCAAGUCGAACGGGCUUCUGGGGCUCUGGCUUUUUUGGUUGGGGUCCUGGGGGUUAGUGGCGAACGGGUGAGUAACACGUGAGUAACCUGCCCUUCACUUCUGGAUAACCGCUUGAAAGGGUGGCUAAUACGGGAUGUUUCUGGGUCUGUCGCAUGGCGGGGUCGGGGAAGAUGGUCCCGUUUGGUGUUUUUGGUGGUGGAUGGGUUCGCGGCCUAUCAGUUUGUUGGUGGGGUGAUGGCCUGCCUAGGCGUUGACGGUUAGCCGGCCUGAGAGGGGGGGCGGGCACGAGAGGACGGCGGGACGGACCGGGCUCGUGCGAGAGGCAGCAGUGGGGAGUAUGGCACAAGGGGCGGAUGCCUGAUGCAGCGACGUCGCGUGAGGGAGGGAGGCCGUCGGGUUGUGAACCUCUUUCGGGAGUGAGAAAGGCCUUGCCCGUGUGGCGGGGUUGACGGUGGCUGGGUUAAUUGAAGCGCCGGCUAACUACGUG
rnacentral:rRNA from 1 species